rnacentral:rRNA from 1 species
GUGGGGAAUCUUGCGCAAUGGGCGAAAGCCUGACGCAGCCAUGCCGCGUGAAUGAUGAAGGUCUUAGGAUUGUAAAAUUCUUUCACCGGGGACGAUAAUGACGGUACCCGGAGAAGAAGCUCCGGCUAACUUCGUGCCAGCAGCCGCGGUAAUACGAAGGGGGCUAGCGUUGCUCGGAAUUACUGGGCGUAAAGGGCGCGUAGGCGGACAGCUUAGUCAGAGGUGAAAGCCCAGGGCUCAACCUUGGAAUUGCCUUUGAUACUGGCUGUCUUGAGUUUGGGAGAGGUGAGUGGAACUCCGAGUGUAGAGGUGAAAUUCGCAGAUAUUCGGAAGAACACCAGUGGCGAAGGCGACUCACUGGCCCAAUACUGACGCUGAGGCGCGAAAGCGUGGGGAGCAAACAGGAUUAGAAACCCGUGUAGUCC